rnacentral:lncRNA from 1 species
CCCUUAUAUGUAUCCUUUUCCGAGUCCUAUGGCAGGUUGGAGCCAAAUGCCCGGUUCAGCUCCAUUUCCUGUUAUGCCGAGUGGAUCGCCGAUGUAUAGGCCAGCGCCGCACGAGGGAUCACAAGAGGGGCUAUCCGGGAGCUCUCCUUUUUACCAAUCCCCACCAACGUAUGGGUUUCAAACACCGUCGUCGUUCGUGAUGCAAACACCUCCACAUACACUAUUCUUUGAAGGUGGAUCAUCCUCCCAAGUCCGACAACCAGAUGCCGUACUGGAAGAACCAGAAUCCCCACCGGAGGAACAACAACCGGUGCCGAAAGGUAGACAAAGGAGGAAUCCAGCGCGUAACCGUCGACGGCAGCCAUGUGGCACUGAAUCCCCCGGGCAUAGACAUUGAUUUUUGUAUUUAAAUUUAUUUGUACAAAUAUUUUGAAUAUUUUGAUAUUAUUUUAUGUAAUAAAAUAGAAAUUUUUUUGAGUUAUUUUGAUAUUAUUUGAUGUAAUAACAUGAGCUUAAUUAAUUUGGACAAAUAUUUUGAAUAUUUUGAUAUUAUUUGAGAAUUCUACUAAUCAUUAAUACAAUUAACAGUUAAUAUUUUUACAUUCACAUAAUGUUAGAUUUGAAAAAAAUAUUUUGACUGUUACUAACAAUUAAUACAAUUAUCAAUAAAUAAUUGAAAAAAUAUAAUUUAUUUACAAUUACAUUCAACUAUUCCGAUUAGGGCAUGAUCAACUUGUAUGGCCUGGAUUCCUACACCAUCCGCAUAACUUCUGUUGACUGGUUGUUUCUCAAAUAUCCAUACUGUUACGUAUUCUAGUCGAGCAAGGUCGACCUUUUGGUUUACGAUGCAAUUCUCUAUCUGGUAACAGCUUAAAAGGAGCAAGAGAUACGGACGACCACUUACGUUCAUCUGGGACCGGUGGGAAAACGUGUCUCCAGACGCUGUACAUGUUUUCCAAUUUGUACACUUCGUCCACAUAGCUCAUCGGAUCCAGACGGAGAUUCUGACAAGCUACAAUAACAUGAGCGCAUGGAUAACGAAAUGCAUCAAACAUCCCACAGUCACAAGUCCUAUUUCGCAAGUGUACACGAUAUUGCCCGCCAACAACACCUUGGUGCGGUCUAUCAAACUCUGUCACGUGUGACACACUAUGUGCAUGGUGUUUGCCCUCACCUUGACCUUGUUAAUUUCUUGAACUACCUUACUGCACCAUACAUGGCCUCCUUGCAUCUGGCCUGCAUAACUUGCUGCUCGCUUUGGAAAUAGUGCCGCCAAACGAAAAUAUGUCUCUCGCACAACCGAUGUUAUCGGUAGAUGGUGCGUUCCUUUAAGAAUAAAAUUUAUGCAUUCAGCUAGGUUCGACGUUAUAUGGACAUAUCGUAGGCCGCCGUCGUAUGAUUGUGCCCACUGUUUGAAACGUAUGUUACAAAGGUAGUCCACCCCUUCUCCGUUAAUUGAACGUAAAAUUGGCAACAUAUUGUGGAAACGGUCUUUAUUUAUUUCAUACCCUGCAAUAUAAGAUCAUAGCGAAUAAUUUAUACCACUUCUACCAAUAAAACAAAUUUAAAUUGAUAAACGAAAUAACACAGAUAUAGACUAAAUUCCCAUAUUGGUCACUUGUCGUCGUUCGCUCUUAGAUGGAUAUUGCCCGUAGUAGUUUGAAACAACGUGUCUUAGGCAAUAUCUAUGGUGUGUGCACUGCCAUAAGCUUCCCUGUCGAUCAAAUGCAGCUAGUAUACUAGCGCCCUGAUCUGAAAUAACACAUAUAUCAGGUUGGGGCACACAUGUCUCCUUAACCUAGAGAGAAAGAAAUCACAGUCAUCAGACGACUCCCCCGGUGUUAUUGCAAAUGCAAUUGGAAGAAUUCUCCCACCGCCAUUCUGUGCCUCUGUAAGUAAUAACCGAUGAGUAUACCUACCGAACAUAAAGGUAUCGUCAAUUUGUACCAACGGCUUGCAGUAUGGAAAUGCGUCUCGGAAUUGCUUAAAGGUCCAAAACAGGCGUUUGAACACUUGGCAUCCACGUAGCAAUCGGCCGUUGUAGUACGCAUGUUCCGUUUCAAGGUCUGUGAUGGCACUUGGGAUGUAUCUCUCUAGCACCUGACACCACUGCCAUGUUUCAUUAUAUGAGACGUCCCACCCACUAUGCAUCUUCUCCAACGCCUUUUGCUUAGCCAUCCAAGCCUUGCGGUAAGAGGGCGUGUACCCCAUUUGGCUACAAAUAUUGACAAUUAACACCGGCACUGAAUUCUUGGGAUCUGCUUUAACCGUGGGCAGUAUCAAGCUAGCUAACAUAGCUGAAUCCUUCUUGGGAUGAUCUUGUGAAACACCUAUAAACUUAGUACAUUAAAUAAUGCAACAUUGCAUAAUAAAAAUAGUUCAGAAACCGUCAAUACUGUACCUGCAACACAUGUAUGUGGACCUUUGUACUUUUUAAUCUCCCACAACCCUAUCCUUUUCCUUAACGAGGCGUAGAUUUUCCAUGAACAUGUGCCGUCUUGAACCGCACACUUCGCCUCAAACUUAUCAGAUUUGGAUUUAACGAAUUGGUAGUUAACGCUGUUUUUGAUGCUAUGUUGUUUCAAAGCACCAAUAAAACUCUCAUUGUUGGUAAAUUGAUUACCAACUUCAAAUUCACCCGAAUCUAGCCCUGAACUUGUAUGAUUACGCAACCGGUGUGGUAGAUCUAGAAACUUUAACGCAUCAUCUGCAGACAGAUCGACAUUAUGCAUGUGGGCUGAAGGUGAGUAUGCUCUGAAUCAUGGAUUUUCUUCUUUAUCUGAAUUUCUUUCAGCAUCUUCAGGUUCUGUUGGAAUAGGUUCCGCUCCGGUUCAGAAAAUAAGCCAACUUCUGCACCAUCGGGCCCGGGCUCUCGAGGUGGAUCCAUAUCAGAGUCAUCUUCUAACCCACAAUCAUCUGUAGCAUACGAGGUCCCCUCACCGGUUGACAUCGUAGAGAGUACAUCAUCCCUUCUUCUGGGUAUUUCAUAAUGUCCCCAAUUGGAUGUAGAUUGCCAACCACUAAAACUUGAUGCCGUUCCCCAAUACGUAUUUCCAGCAUCAAACAUCGAGCCACCGACGUACAUGUUUAAUCCACAGAUAGAGUGUCUUACGGGGGAUGUGCGUUCAACACCGCUACCAAACAUGGGUUGUUCCGUGUUUUGUAACCAGCUAACCAAAUGUCGGUCGGGGUCGUGUAUACAUCUCGAACACCGGUCGCAAGUACAUCACUUGGCGAUGUAAAUUGUACAUAUAACUAAAUAUAAGGUGCUCCACUAGCAAGAUGAGUCUGCAUCAUUGCCUCCAAGCUACGAGCACCUUUUAUGUCGAACGAGUCAUAUAUCACCGGAUCAACAGAAGAGCAGAAUCGAUACGUAAUAGACAGAACUUUCAUUGGCGUCGUUCUGAAGAUUUUACGCCUAAUUCUUUUACGAAGUUCUGUCAAAUCUAUGUUCUGGUUAAAAACUAGUCGUACCGUAUUCUCUGACAAAAAAACAACACCAUUCUCGGUGUGGCAAACCUCACCAUCAUAGUAAAUAACAGCACUAAUACGUUCACUCAUAUUUGAAACUCUAACCUUCUUAGCCUCUCUAAAUUGUUUCUGCUGUGACUUAUGCAUUCUAAGAACAUUUUCUGCCUAAUUUACAGCCUCAACCCAAAUAUGCUACUGUAGCAAAAGCGCGUCCACGAGGGCACGCUUUCACAAAUUCUUCUCAAAUAGCAUCCUGCUAGAAGCGAUUUUAUACUAUUUGCUCAGAAACGUCAACUCGAAAUUAUUUCUUCCAGGACCUACUGUAGCAAAAGCGCGUCCACUAGCGCGUGCUUUCACAAAUUCUUCUCAAAUAGCACCCUGCUAGAAGCGAUUUUAUACUAUUUGCUCAGAAACAUCAACUCGAAAUUAUUUCUUCCAGGACCUAUUGUAGCAAAAGCGCGUCCACGAAGGCGCGAUUUCACAAAUUCUUAUCAAACAGCAUUCUGCUAGAAGCGAUUUUAUACUAUUUGAUCAGAAACGUCAACUCAAAAUUAUUUAUUUUAAGACCUAAAACCCUAAAAAGCCUAAACCCUAAACCCUAAAAGCCAAAAAAACCUAACAUGAAAAAAACGGCAAAAUCGCGACCCCUGGAACGCGCUACGUGGCCGCGACUUGCUGACGCAUCCCCUUACAUCGCGCUGACGUGGACGCAAUUUGCCGAAAAAUGACCCAUUCCGGUAAAUAAUUAAAUACCGAGCCCAUUUCGGUAAUUUAAAAAAAUGGCUUUUAUUGGUAAAUUGCCCAAACAAAAUAACAUUUCUCAUAAGCCUCUCAACUCAAAGAACUGCGUUUCUUACCAAAAACAAAACCCAUCGCCGACACCGAAAACGACUUCUACGGCCCAACGCCAUUCACCUACUAAAACCUAUCCCGACGCCGUUGCUUUGCUUUCUCCCAUUGCCUUAUCUCUAUCUGUUGCUUUCUCUUGCUUUGUUAAUCUGUCCAAUAUUGAGAUUGUCUGAUGCCUGAACUGAAGCCUUUUAGGAAAUUUGAAAGUUGGUAAGCUCUUUUAUUUGAAAAUUACAAGGUUAAUAUAUGAACUAAUUUAGCUUUGAAUCUUUAGUCUUUGGGUUAAAAAAAAAUUUGUUGGAGAGAUGUGAGAAUAAGAAAUGAAAAGAAUCAAUAGAAUCAAUUAUAAAAUCUGUUGUUUUGUUGCCUGUAUCAGAAUCAAGUGUAUUUUAAGCAGUAUCUGAUUUUCUACUGUAAACUCGAAGGUUCUUUGUAGUUUAAGUGUAUAUUAAGCAAUUUUGAUAUUUCGCUGUAAACUCGAAGGUUUUAUGGAGUUUAACUAAUUUCAAUUUUCAUUUGCAUUAUUUUUUUCUACUUUUAUUUCAUUUUCCUUCUCGCUGAUAAGCUGUCCUAAGAUUCAAAGUCAGCAGCGAGAAGUUAAAAGGCUUAAGGUUGUAAAUUCCUUUUAUUGAAUAAAUUUAGGUAAUAUUUGGUUGUUAGUCUUGUUUUAGUUUUUCACAUUCGUAAAAUAUAUUAAACAUGUGUUUAUGGAAGGAAACAUUGUCUUAGAUUACUACCAAUUAUUUUCUCUGUUUAUUAUAUAUGCUUUCUUAGUUUUCUGAGUUUGUUAGUUUUAUGCUACAGCCCUUCGUUAAAGCUCAAAAGACCAAGGCUUACUUCAAGAGAUAUCAAGUUAAGUUCAAGAGAAGGCGAGGUACUAUAAUUAGGCCUAUAUCUGUAUAGUAUCACACUUACUGUUUUGAUGUUGUAAUAAUUGUUUUAAUCUUGUAGAGGGCAAGACGGAUGAUCGGGCCAAGAAUCAUUUUAUUAAUCAAGACAAAAACAAAUAUAACACCCCAAAAAUAUUAUUUGGUUGCACGAUUUGUAUCCUAUUUUUGACUGAUUUUUUUCCCUCAUCAUUUUCUUUGCAUUUGCUAUCAAAUAUUGUGUUUUAAAAAUUUCUAUCCUAUGAAUUUAACGAGCUCUUUGUUGAAUUGUUGUGUAGCCCAUAGAAGCAAGUUCUGAGGGGAAGACUGAUGGUAUGAAAAAGAUUAGGUUUCCACAGAUGGAGUAGAAAUCUGCUAGUAAAACUAUUCAACGACAAGCAAAGAGGCAGCACUACCUUGUCCCAUAAGAGAAAUUUUGGAAAAGGAAAAGAUUGUCAGUCUCUAAUAUUUUAGCUUUAUAGGUUCUAUUAUAUGUUUGCGGAUAUAAGCAUAUAAACUUAUGGUAGUUUUGCAAAUUGAUAUGUUAAAAACUUAAGCCUACAUAUGACUACAACCCAGUGAGGAGAGUCUACCAAGACACCAUGUAUUUCUUGCUAGAUAACUGGCAGAGAGUGUGGGUGAUGGCCGUCUGGAUUGGAGUCAUGUGUGGUCUAUUUUCAUACAAAUAUAUCGAGUAUCGACAGAUGGAAGAUGUGUUUGAAGUAAUGGGGCAUUGUGUUUGCUUUGCCAAAGGUGCCGCUGAGACACUUAAAUUGAACAUGGCUUUGAUAUUGCUACCAGUUUGUCGUAACACCAUAACUUGGUUAAGGAACAAGACCAAGUUAGGAGCUGUUGUUCCUUUUGAUGACAACCUAAACUUCCAUAAGGUAACAAGGAACAUGUUUUCUGGUAUUAAGAACUGAAUGAACAGGGUUCAUUUGAUUGCUUUAUUACACGUAAUUGCAGUUGGAAUUUCAAUUGGGGUUGGCAUACAUGGGAUUUCCCAUUUCGCAUGUGAUUUUCCCAGACUGCUUCAUGCCACACCUGAUGAGUAUGAACCAAUUGAAAAAUAUUUUAGAGAACAAGCCAAGAGCUACUGGCAUUUUGUGAAGCAUAUUGAAGGGGUAACUGGGAUUAUAAUGGUGGUUUUAAUGGCCUUUGCUUUCACGCUCGCCACGCCUAUGUUCAGGCGGGGUAGGAUGAAGCUUCCAAAGCCUCUAGAGAAGUUCGCUGGCUUCAAUGCCUUCUGGUAUUCUCACCAUUUAUUUGUCAUUGUUUCUACUCCCCUCAUCGUGCAUGGAAUCAAGCUCUUCUUGACCAAGAAAUGGUACAAGAAAAUAGUAAGCAAUGAAUAUAAUCACUUUAAAUUCCAGAUAUUCAAUAUAUGUUAAACAAAAAACUCACUUUCUUUCCCUUUUUGGAAAUGACAGACUUAAUGUACUUGGCAAUUCUAGUUUUCCUAUAUAUAUGUGAAAGAUGGACAAGAUUGCUUAGAUCAAGCAUCGAGGCUGUUACCAUACAGAAGGUAAGUAAAUUUAGUUUAAUUGAUUAUAAAACUAGUUUCAAGUUUGAAUCCAAGUAUGACCAUUGUAGUUGUAUUGUUGAAAACUUAGUAGGUUGAUGUUUAUCCUGGAAAUGUACUAACACUUCACAUGUCAAGUACGGGUGUUCAUUAAGUUAACCGACCGGUUAACCGACCCGAAAUAACAUUAACCGAAUUAACCGACCUUUCAAAAUCUUUAACCGUUAACCUAACCGAAAUUUUUUCAAAAAAAUUAACCGAACCGAAAUUUUUUCGGUUAAUUCGGUUGGUUAACCGAAUUAACCGAAAAUUAUAUGUUUUUUAUUUUUGGUUAACUGAAUUAAUCGAAUUACCCGAAUUACCCGAAUUAACCGAAUUAACCGAAUUGAAUCACUACAUAAUUAAAUUUUUUUUAGACUUUUAGACUUUAGUUUUAGUUUAGUUUUAGAAUUUUAUUUUUAUUUAUUAAAUCAUUUGUAAUAUUUAUGAUUGGGUUGGGUUGGGUUGAAUACUUGGGUUUGGAUUGGGUUUAGGUGAAUAGUGGGCCUAUUUAUAUAUUAUAAUUUUAUUUAUUAAUUUUUUCGGUUAAACCGAAAAAAUUCGGUUAACCGACCGGUUUCAAACCGAAUUAAGCGUUAACUGAAAAAUCAAAAAAUAAUUAACCGACCCCCGAUCAAAAAAAUUUGGUUAACUGACCGAUUAACCGAAUUCGUCAGGUUAACCGAAUUUUUUCGGUUUUACCUGAAUUUUGCACACCCGUAAUGUCAAGGCCCCGUGGAUUUAGAUACAAGAGUGGACAAUACAUCUUUUGUUAAUUGAGAUGUUGUGUCACCAUUUGAAUGGUAAAAGCUUUCUUAGCCCAUAAUUGUGUUGACUCAAACAUGGCCAUUUUUUCUCACAUGGAUACAGGCUCCCAUUUUCCAUUACUUCUGCACCGGGAGAUGACUAUGUGAGUGUUCAUAUUAGAACACUUGGUGACUGGACGGGACAACUCAGGACUGUAUUUUCAAAAGUAACUUCUCUUACCUUACCUCUAUUUUUCAACAUUUAGAUUAGAUUAGUUUUGUUAAUACCCAAGUUCCUACCUAACCCAUAUGACUGCAAAUUGAAGCGUUUAAAUGCUGUAAAUUGAAGUGUUAAAGUGCUGCAAAUUGAAGUGUUAAAGGGCAAACAUCAAAUAUGGUGAUUCCCAGCCAAGCAGUGGCUUCUUAGACACCCAACAUUUUGCACAACCAAACAUGACCAGAACUUCUAAACCUACAUGUUGUGGUUGCUACACACAAGUCCCUUCCUUUUUUUAGUUUAUGUGCCAUGUGAUGAUUGUGUUUUAAAAUUUAACUUGUUUUAGUUCCUUACAUUCUUAUAGGAUUCACAUUCAAGGAGCAAGAAACAUCUCAACAACUUAUUGGGAUCGAGCAGUCAGAAUUCAUAAUCAAGUGACACACAAGAGCUAGAUUUGGAGCUUAGACUAUUACUGUAAUCAGUAAAUUUUUUUGCUACUUUAAAUGCAUGCUCAUGGAACUACAUUUUAUGCUUUCCUAGAAUUGUAAGUUCAAAUAAGGAGUUGAUCUGCAAUUCAUACAUACAACUUGAGCAAGUUGAUAUAAACUAGUUUGAAUUUUUUUUUUAAAAUUUCAAAGGAAUCUUAUGUAAUCAAAGGCAAUUUGACUUGCUGCAUGAGAUAUAGUGAAAAACAUUGAUAUUUUUGUUCAUGAAUUUCUAUUUUAAUACGUCUUCAAAUUAAAUUAUACAUUUCUAAAUUGGUGGAAUCCCAAUUUUGCUGCAAUCUCUAACCAAAUAAUGGAGUGGUGUAUGUACUGAUAACAACAUUUCUAAAGGAUUUGCUUAAGCAGGUAAAGGGAAUUGUAGCGUUUUUAUAAUAUUUUAAUUUUUUUUAUUUUUCAUGACCUUUAGCAGCGUUUGUAGGAAAAGCGCCGUUAAAGGUCAUGUUCUUUAGCGACGUUUGUAGAAAAAGCGCCGCUAAAGGUCAUGUUCUUUAGCGGCAUUUUUAGGAAAAGCGCAACUCAAUUAACAAGAAUUUGUUUACCACAAGCACAGCUUAAUUAGCAAGCAAUUAAAAAUCCAAAGUCAUCUUCAACCUCAAUGUCCAACUAAGAGAGUUAUUUUCAUGCUUUAACAUUUCAUUAAACAUUGCUUUGAGUUUGCCAUUCAACAUUUCCAUUCCAUCCAACUACCAAAUCCCAAUCACAUAUCAACCUACUACCAUUUUAGUUGCAUUUGACCAAAAGCAUAUAUCAGUAAUGAAACAUGUUUACAAACACAUAAAUUAUACCAAAAAGACUCAACCUAGGUACAUGUUCUUUUUAAUACAAAGUAGACUUGGAACAAACUUUGUUGAGUCUGGGAUUGAUGUAUGGAUGUUGAUUUGUAGUCUGAAAGCACAAACAAAACUUAACAUGCACACAAAGAACAAAAUCUACGCUGAAUAUAAACUCAGUGGUAUUUCUAUAAUUGAACGUUAUAACAUAAUAUAAAUCAUGUAAAUGCAUGAAUCAUUGGUCAAAUGGUCAAUGUAAAUCAAUAUGUCAUAUUAUACAAUUUCCUCACAUUCAUUAUCUCAUUCAUAUUUAAUUUACUAGUAUAAGUACAUAGUCCAUUUCAUAACACAAUUAAAAAUUCACAACGAUUGAUUUCUAUGUUUUUCAUUUCAAUUUCUCAGCCUUAGAAGUCUGAUGAACAUAAUCAAUCAUCAUUUCAAAUAAUCUCAUGUGUCAUUAUAAUUAUACCUUUUUACAUUUUAAUUUCCUAUUAACCUAACUCAGACUUGAACGGAUAUACGAAUCCAACCAAUCAUACCAGUUUGGCACUCAGUGCCUCGACAGACAAAUCUGAAGUAAUAAGUUAUGCCCAACACUCAUUGAUAUAACUGAAGUACAAAUGUGCCCAACACUCAUCGAGUCGUAGUCGAAAUAACCUUGAACUUUUCCUAUCCUAUGGCAUGCCAACUAUAUCUGACUCUGCCCGAACAAUUAAUAAGGUAACAAUUUUCUCAAUUUCCUAUAUAAGCCAAUUUCACAAUUCAAUGUUAUCAUUACAUCAACCAAUUUAUCAAUUUGCAUGCAUAUCAUCAUAACUCAUAUUGACACAAAGUAAAUUUUUCGAUUACGAUAAUAUACAAUAUUUUCAAAUCUAUUCAAUUAGUUCUUAUCAUAAAUAACCAGUCAAUCAAAUUGGUUCAACUCGAUUUAUUAUUUCCAACUCACCUCAUGACCUUACUAUGCACAGUUCAUAAAAAUGCAACAAUUGAAGUGUUUCAUAUUAUAGGAAUACAAACUGUAAACUCCGAGCUAUUCGUCGACGCCUUUAUCUUUUCCCUUCCUUUUUGAGGAAUUCGAGUUGGCAUUAGCUACAAAUUAACAUAAACAAACAAAACUAUCAAUACAUAAUCAAUUUCACACUCAAUUGCAAACUUAUACAAAUUUCACAUUUUAUUCAAUUUAGUCCCUAAAAUCGGGACUAACAUAACUAUCAAUUUAAAACUCCAAAUUUUAAUCUGAUUUCACUAUAGUCCAUUUAGGACCUCUUAUUUCUCAUUUUUACAACAAAUUUCAUAAUUAAUGCAUUUUAGUCCCUAUUAAAAAAACUAUCAAUUAAUUUCAUAAUUUAGUCCUUUUUCGUCUCUAAGCUUAAAAUCAUUCAAUUUAACAACUAAAACUUUUAUUUCUCAACAAUAGAUAAUUUCAAAAUUUUAACAAUUUUACAAAUUGAGACAUGAGCUAGCUAGAUUAAGCUCUCAUGAUCUCAAAAACAAAAAAAAUUACAAAAAAUAAUGGGAAAUUCUUACCAAAUUAAGGUACUCAAUGUUGAAAACCCUUGGUUUAAAAAUUUUCAUUUUAUUGAAAAUGAAAAUUUCCAACAUUUAAUAUUUUAAAUAUGUUUGAUAAUCAUUUUAAUUUUUUACUUAAUAUAAAAAUUUCAACAAAAAAGGUGUUGAAUAAGAUAGGUAGGUAUGUAGCUACUUAUCAAUUAAUUUAGAAAAUAUUAAGUUGAUUUUAUUUUAUCAAUAAAAAUUGAUAUAUUGUAAAAUAAACUCUUCACUAUUCAAUUUUUAUUUUCUUAAAAAUCAAUAAAUUUACUUUAAUAAUUUGUAAAUAAUAUACAAUUAAUGUGUAACAAAAAAAUAAUAUCAAGUAAAAUUUUUUUUAAAUGAUUGUAAUUGUAAAAAAAAAUUUAAGUAAUAUUUUCAAUUUAAAUUAUAAUUAUUUUUAAAUUUAUAAUUAUCAUAAUUUCUAUUAAAUUAUAAUUAUUUUAAAUACAUAAUUAUCAAAAAUUAUAUUUUACAUUAAUUUCUUUAACUAAUAAUAAUUAUAAAUUAAAUAUUAUAAUUAUUUUCAAAUGUCUAUUUAGUAAUAUGUUAGAAAAUAAAUUAUAUUCUCGUCGAUUCAAAAGUUUUUCCAAACUCGUGCUUUUAUAUAAAUUAUAGAUAUUUUGAUAGAUAAAUUAAGAAUAUGGGAUGCUUUGGGUAGGUUGACCUCUUUUUCUUACACUUUUGGGAUGUUUUGCAUUGAUUGAGCUGUAGUUUUUCUUUCAAUUUCCCACGGACGACAUUGAUUGUUAUAAAAAUUAAGUUAUACAAAAUUUCUAAGGAGAUCAUAAUGGUGGGUCACACCAUAUGGUGCAAGGAGUCAGGAUAGAGAUUUAGGAUAGUAUUUUAUUAUAGCGAUGGCUAAUGGUUGUUCUCGCAUGUUUUGUUCUUUGUCUCCCUUUGAUCUUGGAAGUGGGGGUAUUAAUAGGGGAAUCAAGUUUGGAGCGAGCCCCUCAUAACAUGAUUAUCUCUGUAAUAAAAUCCAAUUUAGGGUUCAUUUGUUUGCCAGUAAAAUAUUUUCCGUAAAAUGAUUUCUGGAAAAUGUUUUACUUUUCUGUCAAAAUAAUUUACUGGAAAAUAUUUUCUGGUGUUUGGAUGAAUCUGUGUAAAAUAUUUUCUGCUGUUUGGCAGAUUUCCUGAAAAUAUUUUUCAGAAAAGUUGUUUUUACCUAUAUUAAUAUAUAUUAAUAAAUUUUUAUAUUUGAAAUUGUUUUUACAUAUAUUACAAUGAUUUAUUUAUAAUAAUACUCAAUUUCCAUUAUCCACAUAUAGAAAUCUCUAUGCUUGUAUUGUGGAAACCUUUCAAACCAGUUAACCAGAAAUACAUAUGCAUCUUCAGCUGUAAAUUGAGCAAGGGAACAUAUGAACCAAGUCCCUCAAAAACUUAGGCAAAACUAACUACAUCUAUGUGACUCGGUCUGAAUAUGCAUUAACAAACAGACCAAAGAUCUGAAUCUGCCAAAAUAUCCGAAUUUAGCAAGUCAAAAAAUUGUAAAAAGUAAAGUAGCUAAUCAAUUCGUAUAUCAGAAUCUGUCAUCCCCAAAAACAAAAUGGAUUCAAAAAAAGGAUUCAAUAUCCUAUCAACAAAAGUAAAGCGGAUUCAAAUAUUACUCAGAGUCCAAAAUUUAAUACCAACAACUUGAAUAACACAAGCCAUUUUACAACUUCAUUACAACUUCAAAAUUUCGCAGAAAUGUAUAAAUGGCAUGACUGCAUCAAGAAAAUCAAAAUUUAUCACUAAAAAUAAGAGAUGGGGGAAUCUUUGACUCUUGAGGCUCCUUGCAAAUUGCUUUCUGCAAAAUAAACACACAUUCCAAAAGGAUUUUUAAAUUAUAGUAAUCAAGAUAAAAAGAUCAUAACAUAAACAUCUAGAAUAUACAAACAGAAGAUUUGAAAGCUAAAAUGUUCAACAUAGAACUAAAAACAAUAAACUAGAGCUAGAUGGUUAGCAUUAAAAGUUCAUUAGAGACCAAAAUGAUGAAACCAGUUCCACAAUAUUUGCAGUCUAAAAAAGAAAACUGUUAGGCACCUUAUCAUUAAAAAGAAAACAAAGUAGUACAAGAACUACUGAGAAGAUCAUAGCAAUACUAAUUAGAUUACAUAAAUAACUUGAUAUAAUAAUAAGUAGCUUACUUUACAGCACCAUAACCAACUGCAUCAGCAGUACUCUCAAUCUCCUCCUCGGUCCAUUCUUCACCCUUACCUGAUUCGCACACAAAGUAACAAUUUCAGAUACAAGAGGUUGAAAAGUUCAAAGGCUACACAAUUUAACAACUGUAAGGACUUGCAAUAACAAAUACGUCACUAAUAGACUGACAAACAUAAGGUAGUUGAAAAGAGUUGAAAAACAUUUGUAACAAUAGAGAUAAGGUUCAAUAUCAUACCAUGCUCGAUAAGUGCUGCUUUACUUCGGUUCUUGGCUUCAUCAAGUAGAUCAACUAAACGAACUACUUCAGUGUUAUGGGUUCGAAAAUACUUGCCAUCUUCUCCAAGAACAAGUACAAAACCAACAUGGCUAGCAUUGGGAUAAUUAUCACCUUGAGGAAGCCACCCUGCACGUUUGGCAGCCUGAAAAAUAACCAAAAUAGUUUCAGAAUAUACAGCAAAAGACUAGAUGUCAAAAGUCGGAAUAACUCUUUAAUAUAUGUAUGUUUUAAUAUAUGUAAACUGACCAUAACAUCGUUCGACUAAAUAAUUAAUAUAUGGAGCUAGCCUUAUUGAUACUAACCUCUUAGCAAUGAAGCAAAGCAACAUCUUGUAACACGAUUCAAGUAAGCAACAACAAAUUGGGGUUUGAACUAAUCAAAAACAGAGCAGCUUUAAAUUAAAGACAACCACAAUAUGGAAAGCAUCAAAUUUUUUAAAGGAGAUGGAAACAAAAAUUGAAGGCACCACAAUAGCUUUCAAGGAGCAUGGCAGCGGCUUAUGGAGACGCUGAAAAACGUCAAUGGGGUAGACAUGCUGAAAAACGUAACAGAACCUGGGCUAAAACUAGUAAUGAGACAUAUCAAAUUCACCAACGAACUAGCAAGAAAAAUGUAAUGCAGAAUGGAGAUUAGUUCAAGACAUUUUAAAGUAAUCGUAAAGAGAACGUUCCCAAUAUAUCAUCAAAUUUGUAUAAUUAAAACUGGAUGAGAUAAAUUAUGGAUCUAAAAAAGAUCGAAGGGCAGAAUUGAUAUUUUAGGGUUUCAGAUUGAGAGAAAAAUGACUUACAAGUUAGGUGCAGAUCGAUAAGAUAAUGAAUCUGUGAAGACGAGAUUGUUCACAAAGAGAACACCAACAACAACACCGUCACGCCAAGAGAAAUCCACCAAAGAAAUUUAGAGAUAGAGCGAGCGAAAGAGAACCCAAGCAAGUCUGUGAAGAAAGUCUGCCCAAGAUAAGCCAAACACCACAGCCAAACUAGCAGAAAACCCAAGCAAGGUAUCAGACAAAAACAAGCAGAAAAUCCCCAAAUCAAUUUAUAAAAAGAAGAAGAAAUCAAGGGGGAAAAGGAGCCCGAAACCAAAUCAAAGGAGAACGAAAGGGAGAAGGGAGAACGAACGUGAGAACGAAACCAGAUCGGUGUAGAGAGGAGAAGGGAGAACGAGAGUGUAGAGAAGGGAGAACGCUGGAAAAAUCGGAAAAUGUCUUACUGAUUCCAAAUCGGUAAGACGUUUUACAUAAAUUGGGGCCUUUUUUACCCGUGUUUGUAAAACAUUUUCCCUUAGGAUUUCAUUUUACACCAACCAAACACUAGAAAAGGUGGAAAAUAUUUUCCGAAAAAUAUUUUCCACCAAACAAACGGACCCUUAGACAUAGGUUAAGUUUUGGCUUGAAUAUAUCUUGAUGUAGGCUUGGUGUGCUUGGAUAGUCAAAAGAAUUAAUAAGAUUGAAUUUAAUGUGACAAUUUUCCUUUAUGAUACCACAUCAGUACUCUUCUUAACGUGAGGUAUCUAGGCAUGGGGUGCUUACUAUCUAUUACAUAAGUAAGAAAAAAAAAGAGAUUAAAUCACUAUUUGGGGAGAAAAAAAAAGAGAUUAAAUCACUAUUUGGGGCCUAAAGUUGGCAACUUUUCCCAUAUUAGGGUCUAAACUUUUUUUGGUACAAGGUAGGUCCUGAAUUUGACAAUUGGUCCUACAUGGGGACUUGAAUUGACAAUUUUUCUCACAUUGAGGCUUAAACUUUUUUUGGUCCAAGUUAGGUGCUGAACUUGGCAAUUGUUCCCACAUUAGGGCAUGAACUUUAGGAUUUUCAAAGACUAACUUGGACAAAAAAAAAUUGCAAGUCCUAAUGUGAGAAAAAUUGUCAAGUUCAGGGCCUAACUUGGAAAAAAAAGUUAAGGUCCCAAUUUGGGAACAAUUGCCAAGUUCAGGGCCUAACUUGGACAAACAAAAAGUUCAGGCUCCAAUAUGAAAAAAGUUGCUAAGUUCAAGCCCCAAAAUGUGGUUUAACCUAAAAAAAAGAAGAAGGAAAUUGUUAGCCAAUAUCUUCUAACAUUUGUCAAGAUGACACAUAGACAUAUUCAUGGGUUAGGCUACCUAUCCAAACCCGAAGACUUGCUUGAAAUAUGAAAAUGUUUAGACAAAAGUAGAAAGGUUUGAGCUUGGACAAAAAAAACAAUAGGUUUGUUUAAAAUAUGAUCAGGCUUGUGCUUCAACAUUCAAGGUCCGAUUCCAACCAAUCUAUUUUUUACUUUUGUAAUAAAUUUUUGUUUUAUUUCUAUAUCUUAUGUAAUUUAUUUCACAUAAAAUCAAAAUAUAAUGAUACAAUACCAUGUAAACAUUAAAAUAUAUUUAAGUUGUCUAGAUUUAAAUUUUUAAUAAAAGAAAAAUCCUCUAAAAUAUUAAAUAUUAAAUUAAAAAUAAUAUAUAUUUUUAAAAAAUAAUAUAGAAUGGUCUAAAUUAAGUUUAAAUUACACAUUUACAAAUUUGGACGGGUUUAGAAAAGAAUUUAAGUCAUCAUUUCGAAUGCGGUUAAGUAUUAAUAUCAUACAUAAACCUACUUUAUAUAUAUUUGAUAUAAUAUUGUUUAAAAAGUUUAAUAAUGGUUAAGGGUGUUCACCGCCUUAGGUGUGGUCUGGAUUCGAGUUGCACUAAUCGUAUUUAUUGUUCGGGCUUUAUCCUAAUAUUAUCAUUAAAAAAAGGGCAAAUUACACAUAAAAGCCCUAUUUUUUAAAAUUUACCGAAAUGGGCCCGAUAUUUUAUUAUUUACCGGAAUGGAUCAUUUUCCCCGAAAUCGUGUCCACGUCAGCGCGAUGUCAGGGGAUGUGUCAGAAAAUCGGGUCCAUGUCAGCGCGAUUACUUACGUGGCAACAAAUCGCGUCCAUGUAAGCGCGAUUUGCUGACGUGGAAGCAAAUCGCGCUUACGUGGACGCGAUUUUCGCCGCACGUGAACAGUACCCACCGGUAAAAAAAUUGACCGUUUAUGUUUUUUAGCUUGAAAAAUUUUGAAAGGCCAUAACUUUUGGCUCGGUUGUCCGAUUGAGACGAUUUUUUUAUUUCAAAUAACUUUUUGAGAUCUACGCGCUUUUUUACCUCUAAAUUUUGAUUUUUUCGGUUUAAAAUUGAAUUUUGAAACAUACACUUCAUUAUUUUCCUUAUUUAUUUGAAGUAAACACCGGAUUUUUUUACAGAAUUGUUGUAUUAUUUUUUCUGAUUUGACACGUGUAUGGAAUAGGUCCGAUAAAUCGUUAGAACGUAAGUAAUAUAAUUAAGAUAAUAACAGUAUUUUUAUAAUAUGUCAAUUAAUUAGUUUAGCUUAGUUGGUUAAGAUGCUUGCUCUUUUCCCUUAGUACCUUGGUUCAAAUUUUGUUGGCAAUAAUUUUGAAUCUUUUUUAUACUUGUUGCAUUUAUUGUUUUAAUCAAUUAACUCUUCAAUAUUACAUUAAUAUAUAUUAUUAGUACAAUAGUAUAGACGGAUUGACAAUUUGAGCUACAAUAUUAUGAAUAUUAACUACAAUACAUAAUUUGAGCUACAUAUUACGGUAAUACAUAUUGGGGUAAAAUACCAAAAAAAGCUCUAUUUUUUAAAAAUUUACCGAAAUGGACCCGAUAUUUUAUUAUUUACCGGAAUGGGUCAUUUUUCACGAAAUCGCGUCCACGUCAGCGCGAUGUGUCAGCAAAUUGCGUCCUCGUAGGCGCGAUUUGUGUCCACGUAAGCAAAGCGCUCUGACGUGGACGCGAUUUGCUGACAUGUCCCCUGACAUCGCGCUGACGUGGACGCGAUUUUGGGGAAAAUAGCUCAUUCCGGUAAAUAAUAAAAUACCGGGUUCAUUUUGAUAAAUUUUUAAAAAAUAGGGCUUUUUUGGUAUUUUACCCUAAAGUUAAAAAAAAAUGUUUUAUAUAAAGUAAACAGUCUGUAAGGACUAGUGGCGUAAGGAAAAAAGACAGCAUUGAGUUAGUACGGUUGAUCGCCCUAUAUCUUGUCCCCCUUCAAUAAAGCCCAAAUACUAAAGAUGGAAUUAUUUAGUUUUGAACAAAGCGGCAUCUCCAACAUUUAUAGUACCACAGAAAGGGUACCAUUAUUUCAUUAACUUUACCAAAAACUACUCUUUUUGUUGGAUUUUUUAUUUUGAGAAAUAAAUUUUUAAAAUGUGUUUUUUACCUAAUAUUAAAUCAUAUUGUCUCCCACUUGUAUCAAGCUUGAUUUGGGUCAAGAUCAAAUUAAAACGGUAUAAGAAAUUAUUCAGUGCUUCAAUUUUAUAUAAAAAAAAUUAUCUUUUCAUUUAAUUUUUCCUUUUUUUAUCUUUUAAAUUUUUUUAUCAAAUCAGUUUAAAAUAAACGAAAAGGUUAACUUUUAUUAAUUUGACUGAUGUAGCGUACAUUUAUUUUUAAAUUGUCUCUUUUUUUAAAAAAAAUUAAUGAAAUAACUUGGCCUUAUAGUAUAAAGAUGCAAUAAAUAUUGUUUUUAUACAAAUAUACAAUUAUAUUACAUUGGAGAAGAGAAAAAGAAUUUACAAGUACAAAUAUUAAAUAUUAAGCUUCAUGUCUAUCAAUUUGAAAUCCACGUAAAUUUACGGUUAAAACUAAAUUAGCAGGUUAAAAUUAACUAAUAAAAGAAUAUUAUAUUAAGCAUUCAAUAGUUUUGUGAAUGUAAAUUUUUUAGAUAUUAAUUGAUGAAAGAUCAGCAAGUAAAUAUGAGCACUGUAAGAGAAGAAGAUUUGAAGCUCACUGUAAGAGUAUGAUUGAAUCAAAUGUUGGGAGGUGAGUGGGAAACUAGAGUUUGACUUCAAUAUUAAUUAAGUUUCACUCUUAAUUCUUCUUUUACAAAGUUAAGCUCACUUAAUCAUUUAUAUUUGAAGUGCGAUGCACCAAUUGAAUUGAUAUAUUUUUUAAUUAUUAUGCUAUAAAAUAUAUAUAGAUGCCCAAAAAUAUCAUAGUUUGAUAUUAAAAAUGGUUUCAAAAUUUAAUAGCUUAUCAAUAUUUACAUACAAUUAAUUAAAUAAUUUGAAUAGAAUACUGUUGAAGAGAUAAUUAUCAGGUAGUUAGUUAGGAGCGGAUAGUUAGUAUAUAAAUGCAUAUCAGUUGUAAUUUUAUAUACAGUUUUCAUUAAUAAAAAUCCGAUAUCAAAUUUCUUCUUCUUUCACCUUUUCACAUCAAUUCUCCAUUACUGUUGAAAUUCUCAACAUGGUAUCGGAGCCAACACUCAUUCGCUUCUCAAUUGUGGAUUAUUGAUUGCGGUUCGUUUGUCACUACUUUGUUUUCUGUUCAAGAUUUGUUGCAAUGCCAAAUUCCUCUGAUCUUUCAGUUGAUUUCAAUCAUCCCCCUGUACUUACAUCCAUAUGAUACUCCAAGUGCGUUACUCGUUUCUCAUAACUUCUUAGGAUUAAAAACUAUAAUAUUUGGAGCCAACCUAUGCGAAUUGCAUUAUUGGCAAAAAACAAGUUAGGUUUUGUGGAUGAGACUUGCUCUAAAGAAUCAAUAACAGAGGGUUUGCAUUAUCAAUGGGAACAUUGUAAUGCCAUAGUUCUGUCAUGGAUCUUGUAACGCCCUAAAAAUUUGAAUGAAUGACUGUUGAAAUUUGCCAUAAUUAAAUCUAUGUAUUUGUGGUUUUGUGCUCUGCUUAUGUGAUUGGGGUUAGAAGUUCGAGUCGUGUCUUUAGAAUUUUUGCAAUCAAUAAUAGUGGCUAGGCCACGACUUACAUGUGAAUCUGGCGUUUAUUCGGCUAUUGAUCUGGCAGUUAAGCUGCAAAUAUUCUGAAAAGUGCCGUAUCGACACUAAGCGGUGUGUUGGGAUGGUCGGAGAUGGUGUGUAGCAGAUGGGGGUAGGAAUAACUGCAUCUGUUUCUGAUCUGUUCUGUAUGUAAACUAGAAUUGUUCUUCCAUAUAGCUGAUACGUUAAAUCUGUACUGAAUGUUUUCUGAUUCUGGGUGAAACUUGAGAUUCGAGAACUAUUUUUAUACUUGUCCUUUAUUUAAAUCUACUUUUGUUAUUCAUUGGGUUCAUAACUCAUUUUCCUCUUGACUGAAUUUCAGAUGGUUUACAGACUUGAACGGGUCGGCGUUGUGGAAGCUUGAUUAAUCCGCUUUAUCACCCUUCAAUUAUAUUAUUAGUAAUUUCAGUAUUCUCUAGUAAUAUCACUUUUUAAGAUCGUUGAAUGAUUGGUUGGUUUUUAUGAUUGUUAUAAUAUGUUGAAUGACUUCCUUUUGUUAGUGUUUAUAAAUGUGGGUUUCUAGUAACGUCAAUGUAACUCUUCGGACUUAGUCUUGACACUUAGGCCAGGUUUGGGGUGUUACAGAUCUAGAACACAGUUAGCAAAGAACUUUCAGCAGGGAUAGUUUUUGCUUCUAGUAUAGCAGUUGUUUGGAAAAAUAUAACACCCCUAACCCGUAUCCAUCGCCAGAAUAGGGUUAUAGAGUAUUACCAGAGUUUACUAAUUAAUUUUCAAACUUUUCAUUCCAUCAAGCAUUCAUAUUUAUAACCAAUCAAAAUCAAAACAUUAAUGAGCUAACGUUAACCAAUUUAACUUGUACAUGCCAUUAUAACUAGAAUCAAAUCAUCCAAAAUUAUCGAUAGAACCAAUGGAUAAUGUGAUAUAUCUCCAACAAGCUUCCAAUUCAAUCGAGCUUCCGAUAAUUAUUUCAAUGCAUCAAAUAAUUAUACAUAUUACCAAUAAUAAUUCAAUUCCAAUAAUAAAACACACAUAUAUAUAAUAUUCAUUACCAAAUAGCAUUAAAUUCAAUUAAAAUUAUACAGAAUAUAGUUCAUACGAACUUACCAGGCUAAAUUGCAGAAAUACCAAAAUUUAGGGACAUUUUGGAAAUUUUCUAUUUUUCUCAAAUUUCCACCCAAUCUUGAUCUAAAUUAAUAUUUCAUUCAAUUUACUAAUUUAAAUAAUAAAAAAAUUCAUUUCAUGCAAUUUGGUCACUUUUUGACAUUUUUACAAAUUUACCUUUAAAGUUUUACUUUUAUUCAAUUUAGUCCCUGAGCCUAAAACGUGAAAAUUAUCCAUGCUAGCUAAAUAUUCAUAUGUAUAUUUUCCUCCUCCUCCUCUCCAUUUCACAUCCUUAAUUUAGAUAAUAUGCUUAUAAGUAACAUUAUCUAUGAUUUCACUAUUUACUUGUAAAUUUAUUCAAAACUGUCCAUUUGAGUCAUAGCCACUAAAUUAUUUUUAUCUUGAGAUACAGAACUCAAAAUUAGAAUCCAAUAAUUUUUUCUGAAACUAGACUCACAUAUCUUAUUAUCGUAAAAUUUUCAGAAUUUUUGGUUUAGCCAAUAAGUACAGUUUAUUCUUUAAAGUCACCUCUGUUCUGCUGUCUGACAGUUCCGACCCUUCUUCACUAAAACUUAAUUAUCUCCUUGUACAGAAUUUGGAUGAUAUCCGAGUUUGUUUCUAUUGAAAAUAGACUCUUUAAGGAUUUUAAAAAUAUAAAUUAUAACUCAUAAUUAUUUGUGUACAAUUUUUUAUGAUUUUCCAAAAUCAGAACAGGGGAACCCAAAGUCAUUCUGACCUUGUCUCACAAAAUCUAUUAUAUCUCAAAAUUUACAAUUCCAUUACUUACACCGUUUCUUCUAUGAGAAACUAGACUCAGUAAGAUUUAAUUAAAUAUUUUUUUAUCCUCUAAUUUCAUUUCCACAAUUUAUGGUGAUUUUUCAAAAUUAACCUAUUGCUACUAUCCAAAACUAUUUUAAUGCAAAAUGUUAAUUACUAAGUUUAUAACUUCCUUAUUCCCUUUCUCUAUAAUAUUUCCCAUCACUUUCACUUAUUUCUCUUCACUAAUAUAUCAAGAACAUAAGACUUUAUAUAAGAAAACUCUACUAUAACAUCUUUUCCAUGCUAUUUCAAUAAUAUCAAACUUAAAAAUAUAUUGAAAUCUCAAUGUUCUUACCUUGUCCUAUUGAUUUCAACCUUUAACUUGAUUUUCUCUCUCCUCCAGCUUCAAUUUCUUGAAUCCAACUUGGUGUUCUAGCUCCCCAUAGUCUCCUUGUUAUCUUUCUCUCUUGAUGGCUAUGGAAAUUCUUUUGAUUUCUAAGUGAAAAUGGUGAAUUUUUUUGGUGGAAGGACCAAAUUGUAAAGAAAGCAAAACUUUCUUUAUUCUGUUCUCUUCUAACGUGAAUUGCAUGGAAAAG